GCCACACUUUGCACGCAGGCUCCUCACAGCAUUGUUGACCCCUAAGUCUGCCAAGACAGUGAUGCUGGAGGGCAUGUUCCACAUCCCAAAGUCGGCUACAGCCCCAGCCAAGGCUACAAAGGACGUGAUCCUACAAUUCCAGACCCAGAGGGACAGAACCGCUGUCUUGACAGCUGCCAGAGAACACCCAACCUACCUUUUUGAAGAAAUGACCCUCGAGUUCUAUUCGGAUCUCUCUGGAGCCACACUGGCAUGGAGAAGAGCCCUGCAGCCAUUUACCGCCCAUCUGCAAAAGCACCAAGUGAAG